rnacentral:tRNA from 1 species
CAGGGGAUAGUUUAUUUAAAAUGUUAGCUUUGGAGGUUGAUGAUAAGUGUUGAUCUUUUCCCUGA